UAUGAGACAUUUUAAAAAUAAACCAACCAUAAUUAAAAGAGUAUUGUGCUUCCUGCGUCCGCAGCUGGCUCCAGUCCUGGCGGCUUGGGUGGCGGCGGCUUCGGGCGGUCGCCUGGCUGCUCUUCGGGGCGGCGACCUGGCUCACGCGCGGCCCGCCCCAGCCUUCACCGCCGCAACCUCUGACGCCGGCAUAAGGGCCACGUGUUCUGAAAUUACUUUGAGACAAGAAGUUUUGAAAGAUGGUUUCCACAGAGACCUUUUAAUAAAAGUGAAGUUUGGAGAAGGCAUUGAGGACUUACAGAAGUACUGACUCUUAAUUAAACAGUACAUUCCUACAGGACUUUUUGUGGAUCCAUAUGAGUUGGCUUCAUUAUGAGAGAGAAACUUAACAGAGACAAUGAUGGUUUUGGAAAUUUUUGAUAUAGAGGCCCCUAACUAUUUGUCCAAGGAAUCUGAAGUUCUCAUUUAUGCCAGACAAGAUUCACAGUGCAUUGAUUGUUUUCAAGUCUUUUUGCCUGUGUACUACCGCUAUCAUCGGCCACAUAGUAAAGAUGGAGAAACCUUUACUGAGCCAGAUUUGUUGAUGUAUUGUGACCAAGUGUUCCCGAUUUUGAAAUGUUGGGCCCACUCAGAAGUGGCAGCUCCUUGUGCUUUGGAGAAUGAGGAUAUCUGCCCGUGGAACAAGAUGAAGUAUAAAUAAGUAUAUAAGAAUGUGACUCUGCAGGUUCCACUGGGACUGACUAUACAUACCUCUUUAGUAUGUUCUGUUGACUCUGCUCAUUACAAUCCUGUGCUCUACUUUGAUCCUUGUAACAGUUUUCAAAUAUGGCCAUUUUUCCCUAUAAGUUUUAUGUAGUUAAAUACUUCCUAGAAACCUAAAUAAGAUCUAUUAAAUUCUGAUGAGAGGUGUUCUUCUAGAA